rnacentral:rRNA from 1 species
GACGAACGCUGGCGGCGUGCCUAAUACAUGCAAGUAGAACGCUGAAGGAGGAGCUUGCUUCUCUGGAUGAGUUGCGAACGGGUGAGUAACGCGUAGGUAACCUGCCUGGUAGCGGGGGAUAACUAUUGGAAACGAUAGCUAAUACCGCAUAAGAGUAGAUGUUGCAUGACAUUUGCUUAAAAGGUGCAAUUGCAUCACUACCAGAUGGACCUGCGUUGUAUUAGCUAGUUGGUGGGGUAACGGCUUACCAAGGCGACGAUACAUAGCCGACCUGAGAGGGUGAUCGGCCACACUGGGACUGAGACACGGCCCAGACUCCUACGGGAGGCAGCAGUAGGGAAUCUUCGGCAAUGGACGGAAGUCUGACCGAGCAACGCCGCGUGAGUGAAGAAGGUUUUCGGAUCGUAAAGCUCUGUUGUAAGAGAAGAACGAGUGUGAGAGUGGAAAGUUCACACUGUGACGGUAUCUUACCAGAAAGGGACGGCUAACUACGCG